rnacentral:rRNA from 1 species
UACGGAGGGUGCAAGCGUUAUCCGGAUUCACUGGGUUUAAAGGGUGCGUAGGUGGGUCUGUAAGGUCGAGUGGUGAAAUCUCCGAGGCUUAACUCGGAAACUGCCAUUGAUACUAUAGGUCUUGAAUUAUCUGGAGGUAAGCGGAAUAUGUCAUGUAGCGGUGAAAUGCUUAGAGUAUGACAUAGAACACCAAUUGCGAAGGCAGCUUACUACGGGAACAUUGACACUGAGGCACGAAAGCGUGGGGAUCAAACAGG